GACGUAGGGCGCGAGCGUUGUCCGGAUUUAUUGGGCGUAAAGAGCUCGUAGGCGGCUUGUCGCGUCAACUGUGAAAACCCGUGGCUCAACCAUGUGGUCUGCAGUCGAUACGGGCAGGCUAGAAUUCGGUAGGGGAGACUGGAAUUCCUGGUGUAGCGGUGGAAUGCGCAGAUAUCAGGAGGAACACCGGUGGCGAAGGCGGCAUCCUGGACCAAUAUUGACGCUGAGGAGCGAAAGCCAGGGGAGCAAACGGG
rnacentral:rRNA from 1 species